rnacentral:tRNA from 2 species
CUGCCCAUAGCUCAGUUGGAUAGAGCAUCGGCCUUCUAAGCCGACGGUCGGGAGUUCGAAUCUCUCUGGGCAGGCCA